GAUAUCUCUCCCCUCCUCUGUCCCUCUCUUUCUCUUCCCCCGCCCUCCCCCCUUUUUUUGCUUCUGCUCUUCCCCCCCCCCGCCUUUCUCCUUUUGCAAGAAAAUAAUUUGACAGUCGAUUUGCUGACAGGGGAGGAAUUUGCAUCCUGGAUUAAAAAAAAAAAAAAGGCCGAGAGGAGCUUGGGAACGGUUGCUAGGGGUGGGUAAUGGGUGAAAAAAGGGGGGCGCCAGGGAGCGGAUAAGGAGGGUUAAAGGAGGGGGCGAGGGUGGGGAGCAAUGCAAAAGGUAAGGCCAGGUUACCGCGACUCGGCCCCGAGUGGGCUGCGGCCGGGGGAGGGGCGAGAGAUACAUAUGUAUUUCUGUCUCCCUAGCACACCCCCUUCCCUCUAAGCGAUGGCUGAGAGGCGGUGCAUGCAGAUGGGGAGUAAGUUUCCUGAAGGGGAGGGUGGAUGCACGCGCGCGGCCCCGCGCUGCAAAUUUCCACCGGGAGGGAGAGUGACUGGAUGCGGAGAGUUUGGAGUUGCUUGCGGCGGAGGGCAGGAAGGGGAGCAGGGCCGGGAAACGGGGCUGGCGGGCGCUAUAUCUGGGAGUAAGUUUCCAGGAUCAGGAGAGCCUGCACGCUUGCUCGCUAGUAAGUUUCUGGCCGGGGAGGGCGCCUGGGGAGGAGGAGAGGGAGGGGUGCCUGUAUAUAGAAGGGGGGGGAGGGGGGAGCAGAUUUCCUGCGGGGAGGCUGAAUGCUUAUGGAGAGUAGAUUUCCUGAAGGGAGGGUGGAGGCGUAGACGGACCGAGUCUGCUCGUCCCCCAUCUCAUCCCCCAAGCGGAGACCGGUCUUCUUGUCGGAUUGCCCAUGCACUUGUUGCAGAAACAGCCAAGAACCAGGCCUCCUCUUCCCACCUGCUCAGCAGCAUGAGAGCAGCAUGA
ensembl:lncRNA